GUGGUUGGGCAUGGCGGAAGGAAAAGGAGGGGAUGAUUAAGGGUUUUGGUGGCUAAAAAUGAUGGGGUAAGGACAAUCGACAAUAGGCUAGGAUGACGCUAGCGAGCAUGAGGUCUUGAAGGGAAAAAACGAUGGUCGACGAUUUGUGAGGAGGUUGACGACGAGAGGGACGGAUGAGGGGUUAGAGGACGUCGAGGAAAGGGCGACGAGAGGGGUUGAAGGACGGGGAAAAAAGGAAGGGAGACAAUAGGCGAACGGCGACGUGAGUGAGGAGAAAGGGAGAGGAAGUGAAAAGAAAAAAUUCAAGUUAAAAAGAAUGGCACGGGCGUGUGUGAGGACCAUG
rnacentral:lncRNA from 1 species